rnacentral:misc_RNA from 1 species
CCAGCCUGUAAGCCAGCAAUCAGCCCAACCUGUAGCCCAAUCAAUAGGCUAUAAAAUAGCACACUGCUUAGUCCAACAAGCAGCCCUGCUAUCAUCCCCACUAGUAGCCCAAGCCUCAAGUUAUUUCUCGCUUUUAGCCAUGACCAUUUCAGGGUUUCAACUGGGUUGAUCUGAUUACUAAUCAACCCAAAAACUAGCCCAGCAAUUAUUCCACUACUAAUCCCAAGAGUUAGUCCCGCAAUUAGCCCAAAGUGC